AAAACCCCAAAUAUCAGAAGAUUUGGCAACAUUGCAACUGGAGCCAGCUUUUCAAAAGAUCUCUGCUAAAAAUGGCCAGGAUUUCAGAAGUGUUCAGCUCCCACUGUGACUCUCAGGACCAGCUCUUUUGAACAAGCUGAUCUCUUCUCGAAAGCUGGUUCUGAAGUCCUUUUGAGCCCUCCAAGCGUACUUAAUGGUGUCUCUGACUUGAACUGGUUCUUCUGCACAACAGUGAAUUUCAUCCAGCCAGUGCUGGCAGCCUGCAGAGUAAUCUCCCUGGGGUUGGGGGAGGGGAAGCCCCAUUGCUCAGAUCAUUUCAAACCAAACUGGCCAAAGCACUAGAGGAAAGAGCGUGGGGAACGAUCCUGCACUGGCUUCGCUGGAGGGGAGUGGACAAGGUGACCCAAUAGGUGUUUUCAAUCAGCGACUCCCAUGGGUAAGAGCAAGAUGAGUUGAUGUCACAGAGUACUGGAAUCAGUUUGAAGAGAGAGGGUGAAGUAGUAAAUGAAAGCGCCGCAGGAACUAAGUAUAUGGACCAUCAUAAUGUUUUACAUUCACACAACACCUUUCCUCCCGGGACGUGCUGCCAGCUACCUACGCAUGGGCUAGAGGACAGCCACGGCAGCAACUCUGGAACUAUUCCCGCUGUUGAACUGGUUCCAACUCCCUUCCAUCCACAGAGUUAAUGCAGGAAACGUGUCAAAGUAAAA